rnacentral:rRNA from 1 species
GACGAACGCUGGCGGCGUGCUUAACACAUGCAAGUCGAACGGUGAAGCGCCUUCCUUUUUGGUGGGUGUGGAUGAGUGGCGAACGGGUGAGUAACACGUGAGUAACCUGCCCCCUUCUUCUGGAUAACCGCAUGAAAGUGUGGCUAAUACGGGAUAUUCUGGGUCUGUCGCAUGAUGGGUCUGGGAAAGAUAUUGUUUCGGUGGGGGAUGGGCUCGCGGCCUAUCAGCUUGUUGGUGGGGUGAUGGCCUACCAAGGCGGUGACGGGUAGCCGGCCUGAGAGGGUGGACGGUCACACUGGGACUGAGACACGGACCAGACUCCUACGGGAGGCAGCAGUGGGGAAUAUUGCACAAUGGGCGCAAGCCUGAUGCAGCGACGCCGCGUGAGGGAUGGAGGCCUUCGGGUUGUGAACCUCUUGCGCCAGUGAAGCGGGCCUGCCUCGUUUGUGGGUGGGUUGACGGUAGCUGGAUAAGAAGCGCCGGCUAACUACGUG